rnacentral:misc_RNA from 1 species
UCCGUAGGUGAACCUGCGGAAGGAUCAUUACCGAGUACUGGAGCCUUCGGGUUCCUACUCCCACCCUAUGUUGACUUUGAAUGUUGCUUUGGCGGACCGGUGGUCUCACCGCUGGCCUAGGCUGGAGAGCGUCCGCCAGAGGAUUUUAAAACUCUGUUUAACGGUGAAUUCUGAGUCUUGAUAAAUUGAAUCAAAACUUUCAACAACGGAUCUCUUGGUUCUGGCAUCGAUGAAGAACGCAGCGAAAUGCGAUAAGUAAUGUGAAUUGCAGAAUUCAGUGAAUCAUCGAAUCUUUGAACGCACAUUGCGCCCUUUGGUAUUCCGAGGGGCACGCCUGUUCGAGCGUCAUUUAAACCAUCAAGCCCUGCUUGGUCUUGGACGCGGUCGAGUGACCCGUCCGUAACCCGUUGGCGGUGCAGUCCGGCUUCAAGCGUAGCAAGAAUUUCGCUUCAGGAGUCCGCGGCGGCGUCUGCCAGAAAACACUACCCAAAGUUUGACCUCGGAUCAGGUGAGGAUACCCGCUGAACUUAAGCAUAUCAAUAAGCGGAGGAAAAGAAACCAACAGGGAUUGCCUCAGUAACGGCGAGUGAAGCGGCAACAGCUCAAAUUUGAAAUCUGGCUUCCGCCCGAGUUGUAAUUUGCAGAGGAGGCUUUGGAGUCGCCCCGGUCCAAGUUCCUUGGAACAGGACGUCGCAGAGGGUGAGAAUCCCGUACGCGGCCGGAUGGCUUCUCCGUGUAAAGCCCCUUCGACGAGUCGAGUUGUUUGGGAAUGCAGCUCUAAAUGGGAGGUAAAUUUCUUCUAAAGCUAAAUACCGGCCAGAGACCGAUAGCGCACAAGUAGAGUGAUCGAAAGAUGAAAAGCACUUUGAAAAGAGAGUUAAAAAGUACGUGAAAUUGUUGAAAGGGAAGCGUUUGUAGCCAGACUUGGCGGCAGUUGCUCAACCGGUCUCUGCCCGGUGCACUCUUCUGCCGACAGGCCAGCAUCAGUUCGGGCGGCCGGAUAAAGGCAUCGGGAAUGUGGCUCCUCGGAGUGUUAUAGCCCUUUGCACAAUGCGGCCAGCCCGGACUGAGGACCGCGAUUCACGGAUGCUGGCUUAAUGGCUGCCAACGGCCCGUCUUGAAACACGGACCAAGGAGUCUAACAUCUAUGCGAGUGUUUGGGUGUAAAACCCGUGCGCGUAAUGAAAGUGAACGGAGGUGGGAGCUUCGGCGCACCAUCGACCGAUCCUGAUGUCUUCGGAAGGAUUUGAGUAUGAGCAUAGCUGUUGGGACCCGAAAGAUGGUGAACUAUGCCUGAAUAGGGUGAAGCCAGAGGAAACUCUGGUGGAGGCUCGCAGCGGUUCUGACGUGCAAAUCGAUCGUCAAAUUUGGGUAUA